rnacentral:sRNA from 1 species
AGAGGCGUAAGGAGUAGGCGGGGCGAGCCGGCUGGGCUCAGGGUCCACCAGCUCACCCGGGUCGAGGGGCAAUCUGAGGCGACUGGUGACGCGCUUAUCCACUUCCCUCCUCCCGCCUCCCCCCGGGGUGGCGCUCGCUGGUGACGUAGUGAGUGUGAUGGCCGCCGCGAGGCCGGGAAGGUGAAGGGCACUUCCUCACAUGCCAGCGCAACUCCCCAAUACCUCAAUGAUCAGGACUGGUGGAGUCAACACAGUCAAUCAAUAGCCAACCUCAACCUGAGACAGGACAGAAGAGAACUCAGAAUCUUUUUGUCUUUUGGACUUCAGCCAUGUCCAUGAUGCCUGCCCUGUGAAGAUCUCUCACCAUCCAAAAAACGCAAUGUCCCUGCUCUUCUCUCGAUGCAACUCUAUCGUCACAGUCAAGAAAGAUAAGAGACACAUGGCU